UACGUAGGGUGCAAGCGUUGCCCGGAUUUAUUGGGCGUAAAGGGCGCGUAGGCGGCUCGGCACGUCCGUUGUGAAAUCGCCCGGCUCAACUGGGCGGGGUCAGCGGAUACGGCCGAGCUUGAGCAAGCUAGGGGGCAAUGGAAUUCCCGGUGUAGUGGUGGAAUGCGUAGAUAUCGGGAGGAACAUCAGUGGCGAAGGCGGCCUGUGGGGCUGUUGCUGACGCUGAGGCGCGACAGCGUGGGGAGCAAACAGG
rnacentral:rRNA from 1 species